rnacentral:misc_RNA from 1 species
AGGUGAUGCAACCUGCAGCUUGGCAUAAUCACCAGAGCCCGAUCAACAUUGCAACCGUACCUCCUGGUUCAGAAGAUCCAGAGCUCGUGAUGGCCAUAAAUGCCUCUAUUCAGUCAGCUAUGCAGGAAAGAGGGAAGCUUCAUACCCAUCCAUCAAGUUCUGAAGCAGGUGCCUCCAGUAGCAGUGGAUUACCUCAACCUGCUCCUCCAAAAACAAGUUCUAGCAAAUGGACAAUGCACGAAGCCAGCCACAGUUACAAUCCAAGCCAUCGUGCCGAAACACCAAAUGACACUGUCCCCGUCAUCCAGAUGACACACCCUCCAAAUGCAGCCCCCACAGCUCCACCCCUUGCAGCCAAAACUUCUGAAGCUAGCACAAGUACAGUUGACUACCCGUUGGUCAAUUCUGACCGCAUAAGCGACAUGCCAUCUUCAUCCGUUGGGAAUGAAGGGACACAAAGUAAUGGCAACUCGACGUGUGUGAUAUGUCUGGAUUCUCCAGUAGAGGGAGCCUGCGUCCCCUGUGGCCAUAUGGCUGGAUGUAUGUCUUGUCUAAAUGAGAUCAAAGCCAAGAAUUGGGGCUGCCCAGUUUG